UCCCAUGGGGACUCACCAGUUGUUCCAGAAGACGUGGCCCUUGCAGAAAUGAGAGGGGAACAGAGAGAAGUAAAGGCUGCCCCCCCUGAACCAAUCACUGAGUGUUUCUCAAAAUCUUAAAAGUUUUCUCAGAGUGAAGAAAUGGAGAAUAAAGAGGAAAGAAAAUCUUUCCAUUUUUGCACCUAUUUACUUUCCAAAUCUGUUUAUGUGCUCAUUAUAUCUGAGAAAUAUGUUCCUUUUAUCCACACCUCUAAUUUUAUAAAAAUAUGCAAAAACAUUGUCUUAAAACAUGUUCCUAUAAAGAUUGCAUUGCACUAAACUAAAACAAUUGGAAAAUAAAAUGUUAAUCUUAGAAAUCUGCUUCUGCUUCUUGCAAAAUGUUGAAGGGUGGAGGGUGCAGCAGCUUGAAUUGUUUGUUUUUCUAUGUCAGAUAAUACAUAUAUGGAUAUUAGAAUGAAUAAUGACUUAGUUGAUGAGGUCAGAUCAGAAAAUUCCUGGCUCGACUGCAGGAGGGAAUGGUAAUUUGUAAAAACACACAGACAACCAAUUAAUGCAGUAUUAGUCAUGUGUAGAGUAUCAAUGAAUAUUUACAAUAUAUAGAGAGAAGUACUUCAAAUAGUCCAUGAAAUCCUAGAAAUGUUUUUCUAGUAUGUUGUUUUUUUUUUUUUUUCCUUUAUCCAAGGCAACAUUUAACAAUUGAACUCUUUGGACUGAAAUAGAUCAUUUUGCAUUAUCCUGAUCACUUCCAUCACAGUAAGAAUGAAAGUGUAGUUGUGGGUCUGAAAAUCUCCAAUCAGACUGGAAGGAGUUGCAGGGAUGUGAUGA